UGGGCCUAUAAAUAUUAUAAUAAUGGGCCCUGAAAAUGAAAAUUGGCCCAAUUAGUGGAUAUAAAAAGUGACGAGAGAUUAGUAAAACCCGAGAUCAGCAUGUGAUGACUCACACUCACUAUUAAAAUCUUAAACAAAAAGCUUACUGUUCAUGCUCUGUUUUGCAACUGGACAGUGAGAUUAACCUACAGGGGAAGAAGAAGGUGAUGUCUGGAUUUUUAUACAAUGGAACGGAAGUGGUCCUUUCUUUUUCUUUUUCUGAGGGUAACCCCUUACUUCUCAUGUAACGGCGCUCCAU